CAGUCGCCACGGUAAUACGUAGGGUGCGAGCGUUAAUCGGAAUUACUGGGCGUAAGCGUGCGCAGGCGGUUGUGUAAGACAGGUGUGAAAUCCCCGGGCUUAACCUGGGAACUGCGCUUGUGACUGCACAGCUAGAGUAUGGCAGAGGGGGGUGGAAUUCCACGUGUAGCAGUGAAAUGCGUAGAGAUGUGGAGGAACACCGAUGGCGAAGGCAGCCCCCUGGGCCAAUACUGACGCUCAUGCACGAAAGCGUGGGGAGCAAACAGGAUUAGAUACCCCCGUAGUCCCUGUCUCUUAUACA
rnacentral:rRNA from 1 species